AUUGAACGCUGGCGGCAGGCCUAACACAUGCAAGUCGAACGAGUGGCGGACGGGUGCGUAAUGUCUGGGAAACUGCCCGAUGGAGGGGGAUAACUACUGGAAAAGGUAGCUAAUACCGCGUACCAUCGGAUGUGCCCAGAUGGGAUUAGCUUGUAGGUGAGGUAACGGCUCACCUAGGCGACAAUCCCUAGCUGGUCGGAGAGGAUGACCAGCCAAGUGUGCACUGGUACACGGUCAGGACUCCUACGAGAGGCAGCAGGGGGGAAUAUUGCACAAUGGGCUAAAGCCUGAUGCACCCAUGGCGGGGGUAGGAAGAAGGCCGUCGGGUUGUAAAGUACUUUCAGCGGGGAGGCGUUACCCGCAGAAGAAUCACCGGCUAACUCCGUGCCAGCAGCCGCGGUAAUAC
rnacentral:rRNA from 1 species